rnacentral:rRNA from 1 species
UACGUAGGGUCCGAGCGUUGUCCGGAAUCAUUGGGCGUAAAGAGCGCGUAGGCGGCCAGAUAAGUCCGGUGUGAAAGUCAAAGGCUCAACCUUUGAAUGCCGCUGGAAACUGUCUGGCUAGAGUCCGGGAGGGGCGAGUGGAAUUCCUGGUGUAGCGGUGAAAUGCGCAGAUAUCAGGAGGAACACCAAUUGCGAAGGCAGCUCGCUGGGACGUGACUGACGCUGAGACGCGAAAGCGUGGGGAGCAAACAGG